rnacentral:rRNA from 1 species
UCGACGGAGAGUUUGAUCCUGGCUCAGGACGAACGCUGGCGGCGGGCCUAAUACAUGCAAGUCGAACGCACUCGACCUUCGGGUCAUAUGAGUGAGUGGCGAACGGGUGAGUAACACGUGAGGAACCUGCCCUGAAGACCGGAAUAACCCGAGGAAACUCGAGCUAAUACCGGAUAUCCCCAUCUGGUCGCAUGGCCGGAUGAGGAAAUGUUCAGGCGCUUCAGGAGGGUCUCACGGCCUAUCAGCUAGUUGGUGAGGUAACGGCUCACCAAGGCAUCGACGGGUAGCUGGU